GCCGCUGUGAGUGUUUCUUUGGCAGUGUCUUAGCUGGUUGUUGUGCGCAGUGAUUGAGGAAGCAAUCAGCAAGAAUACUGCCCCAGAAGUGCUGCACG
rnacentral:pre_miRNA from 11 species